GACAGAGGGUGCAAACGUUGCUCGGAAUUACUGGGCGUAAAGCGCGUGUAGGCGGACUGGUGUGUCGGAUGUGAAAUCCCCAGGCUCAACCUGGGAACUGCAUUCGAAACUGCCAGCCUUGAGUGGUGGAGAGGGAAGUGGAAUUCCUGGUGUAGAGGUGAAUUCGUUAGAUAUCAGGAGGAACACCAGUGGCGAAGGCGGCUUCCUGGAC
rnacentral:rRNA from 1 species